rnacentral:rRNA from 1 species
CAGUAGCCGCGGGAAUACGUAGGGUGCAAGCGUUAAUCGGAAUUACUGGGCGUAAAGCGUGCGCAGGCGGUUCGCUAAGACAGAUGUGAAAUCCCCGGGCUUAACCUGGGAACUGCAUUUGUGACUGGCGGGCUAGAGUAUGGCAGAGGGGGGUAGAAUUCCACGUGUAGCAGUGAAAUGCGUAGAGAUGUGGAGGAAUACCGAUGGCGAAGGCAGCCCCCUGGGCCAAUACUGACGCUCAUGCACGAAAGCGUGGGGAGCAAACAGGAUUAGAUACCCGCGUAGUCCCUGUCUCUUAUAC